rnacentral:tRNA from 1 species
AUUCAAAUAACUUAAAUUUAGAGUAUAAUAUUGAAGAUAUUAAUGUGAUUUUUAAAUAAUCUUUGAAUA